UAAGACAUGAACUAAAAUGAACUCUGAUAAGAUAUUAUCUAAGUCGACUUUUGACAACUGAUAAGGCAAGUUAACAAUUAUGUGGUGAAGCCAUGGACAUUUUUAUCACUCUAGUGUCUGUCUCGCUUUUAGGGGGAGCAUCAGCAUGGAGUGGUGGAAGAAACUUUGUGUUUGCCAUACCUGAGCCGUAUUUGCAAGGCAGUAAUGAAUAUUAUUUACAUAUGUACAUUUCUGCAAUAGAAACAUCACAUGUUUUGAUUGAAGCUCCUGCCCAUCUUAAAUGAAGGAAAGUA